UACGAAGGGGGCUAGCGUUGCUCGGAAUCACUGGGCGUAAAGCGCACGUAGGCGGAUCUUUAAGUCAGGGGUGAAAUCCUGGAGCUCAACUCCAGAACUGCCUUUGAUACUGGGGAUCUCGAGUCCGGAAGAGGUGAGUGGAACUCCGAGUGUAGAGGUGAAAUUCGUAGAUAUUCGGAAGAACACCAGUGGCGAAGGCGGCUCACUGGGACGGUACUGACGCUGAGACGCGAAAGCGUGGGGAGCGAACAGG
rnacentral:rRNA from 1 species